GUCCCCGUAGCUCAAUGGACAGAGCAGUAGCCUCCUAAGCUACUUAUAUGGGUUCGAUUCCCAUCGGGGACA
rnacentral:tRNA from 1 species